CCCAACUGAGCGUGGGGCUUCAGAGCUCCCGUGUCACCAGGUGGGGUACUGUAGGCGUCUGCUUGGAGAAGGGCUGUAGGAAGGGGGAGGGAAGCCAGGAAAAUGCGAGGAGAGAGCUGCAGAGAGCACCUGGUGGAGGGUCCUCCUGCACUUGGGCUCUUAGAAGCUUGGACAGAAAACGCCUUUGCGGAGGGUAGAAGCCCCCAGCCCGGGGUCAACGUCCAUAGCUCUGGUCAUUUCCCCAGCCUGCAGGAACCUGGGCCCGGAGAAAGGGGGCCCCCAAUCCUGGGGGCGGGGGACGCCAAGCGGAGAAGUCAGAGCCAGCUGAGAAGGAGCAAAAUUGACUUAGGGCCAAUUAUUUCUGCGGUGAAAAUGCUUGCAGCAAAUCUGCCUAUGCUGAAAAUGCCAAACAUGAAGAUGGGGUGUGAAGAUAUGAAAUGUCCGCAGAGGCCAGAGCUGGGGGCCACAGACCAGCAGAACAAGUGCUAGAAAUCUCAGGGGAGAAGGAUGCUCACUGCUCAGAACCAUCCUCGAGCAACAGGCAUACAGAGGGAAAUCAUGGACAUUUUGACUAUUAGGAAUAUUAGCUCAGGGCCCAACACUCUUCCCAAAAGGCAGGUAGGAUAGAGUGGUUGGGAGUUCUGCACUUCAAGCCAAGUGUUGGGGUCAGGAGCUCUGUGGAGCAACAGCAUUUGCUGGAGUCUGGAAAGAGGUGCCAAGGUAUCCUGAUGAAGAUUACAUAAAUUAGAACCAAGGAGAAACAGGGCGAGGUCUGCCAGGAUGACAGACAUGGGCAUCUUCCUGGGAAGCAGAGGGGACAAAACCAAGAUAAAAUGGGUCAGAAUGACUUGACCAGGGCUUGAAAUUUGUAUCAGAUGCAAAGCUAGGAAGCCAUGGGGAACAGUAACAAGACCCACAUCAGCAGCCUGGCCAAGGCUGCCCAUUCUCUCCUGCACCUCCUUGGACAUGCACACACCUCCCUCAGUUUCCUCAUCUGUGAGAUGCGUCCAUGACCCCAGCCCUGCAAGGCUGGUCCCACAAGUGGUCCCAUCACAGUCUCUGACCCCUGAUGUAGAAUUGCCCUCUAGGAAAAGAGCAUCCACUUGCCUCCAGGAAGUGCUGUGACUCCCUUUUGAGAAUUUCCUUCCUAAAAGCACCUGCAGGCUCAGGACUCAAGUGUCAGCUCCUAGGACCAUUUACAGAGCACCUUGUGUGGCCCCUAAAGGAGAAUCAGAUGUGAAUCAGAUGCAGACCCAAAGGUAAAUCGGAUGUGACUCCUGCCUCACAUGGACUUGUAGAAAGGAGCAUUCGAGCAAGUACAUGAUGACAUCAAAUUGCAGUCCCUUUGAAUGCAUUCAAGAAACACAAACCAUUAUCCUUUGGCAGUGGACUUAAGCCUCAAGGCUUGGAGCUCACAGUGAACCAGUGAACAAGAUUUGAAGAUGCAAGAAUUAAUUUGCAAAAGAACAAUAAAGCCAUACAAACUAAUCAGAGAGGAAACUGAGUGGAGAGAAUUUAAAUAUCUCACCCAUCUGUUCGUGAAGACUCUGCUGAGAAAUACAGAGCCAGGUGUCUCUUGAACCUAUAAAAGGUGAGCAGUCCCUUCCAAAAAUGGGUGGAGGAGCGCAAAAGCAUGUGCCCUGCCCCAAAGCUGAACUGCCUGCUGGCAUGAGGGGUCAGGAAUCUUUUUCUGUCAAGGGCCAAAAGCUGUACAUUUUCAGCUUUGAGGACCAGAUCAUCUCUGUUGCAACAUUCAAUUCUGUUACUAUAGUGUGAAAGUUAAGAGUAGCCAGUAUGUAAAAAAGUGGGCAUU